GACGAACGCUGGCGGCGUGCUUAACACAUGCAAGUCAAGGGGGUGUCGUCGCGAAGACGGCGCAACCGGCGAACGGGUGCGUAACACGUGAGCAACCUGCCGAGGUGUGGGGGAUAGCCGGCCCAACGGCCGGGUAAUACCGGCAUACGUUCUCUGAGGGACAUCCCUUGGGGAAGAAACCGAUGGGGCAACCCAUGGGGCAGCUCGAGGGGCUCGCGGCCUAUCAGCCAGUU
rnacentral:rRNA from 1 species